rnacentral:rRNA from 1 species
CCGGCUUUCUUUACACAUGCAAUAUAACGAUGAUCCGGUGCUUGCACCGGUGAUUAGUGGCGAACGGGUGUAGUAACACGUGAGUAACCUGCCCUUGACUCUGGGAUAAGCCUGGGAAACUGGGUCUAAUACCGGAUAUGACCUUCCAUCGCAUGGUGGUUGGUGGAAAGCUUUUGUGGUUUUGGAUGGACUCGCGGCCUAUCAGCUUGUUGGUGAGGUAAUGGCUUACCAAGGCGACGACGGGUAGCCGACCUGAGAGGGUGACCGGCCACACUGGGACUGAGACACGGCCCAGACUCCUACGGGAGGCAGCAGUGGGGAAUAUUGCACAAUGGGCGAAAGCCUGAUGCAGCGACGCCGCGUGAGGGAUGACGGCCUUCGGGUUGUAAACCUCUUUCAGCAGGGACGAAGCGAAAGUGACGGUACCUGCAGAAGAAGCACCGGCCAACUACGUGCCAGCAGCCGCGGUAAUAAUCGGAU